AUGAAAGUGAAAAAAAAAAUACCGUACAGUUUAGGCCGAGCAUGGAGAAUGUGUGCCUGGUUGCUGGGUACCCACAGCCAGUGCUGUACUCCCAAUGUCUGGGGCUGUGAGCAAAUUCAUACAGCACUGCUGCCAUUCUUCCCACUCCCUCAGAACAGAGCUGCUGUGAAGAUGGGCCCCAUGAAGAUGCAACCCCAUAUUCAUGAGGCAGGCGUGUGGUGGCACGGAGCCCUUUUCCAUCCCCCUUCUCUUCUGAGGGCAGAGUUGCUGUGUGGAUGCUCACAGGACAGUCCCAGGCAUUGGGAAGUGGCUUCAGCAGCUAGUGAUGACUCCUCCCCCAGCCCACCUCCUGAGGAGACUACUGUGUGAAUCUGAGGCUGGGGCUUCUGUAUGAAUGUGCAAAAGCCCUAGUAUGUGCUCUUGAAACAAGUAGGAGAGGAAGUUGCUUGUAAAGCACAACUACAAGCUUGCAGACAACCAAAACUUCAUAUAUAAAACUCAUGAAUGUAGAGGGCUGACUGUAGUUAGUUAUCACUACAUAUUAUAUUGCUGGGGAUGAGAAGAGAUGCUGUUGAUUUCUGCUUCAUGUGCCAAAACAGGCCUUGAUCCUCUGGCUGAUUUUAGGUGUUCUUUAUUUGCACUUUGGUGGCCAAAAGGAUUAUAUGUAUAUGUGCCGUUUCUUCGUACAUAAUUAAGCCUUAUUUGCAUCAAAUCCACUUCUCUCUUGCAUGUAGAGAUACAAAGAGGAUAUAAUUCAGUUAGUGGUCUUCAGAUUUUGUGCAUCCAUAUCUUUCCACCAUGCAAUCCAAAUAAAUUUCUAUGCUUUCUUCAUUUGGUUGAUUUAUAUGCCAUCUUUCUCCCACAAGGCCACUAAUAUGAAGACUGACUAAAGGGGUACAAAUACCAAAAAGAGGGAAUUUUAAUAUUAAAAUACAAUAGAAUAGAUUAUAAUAUUAAAACACAACUUAAUUGAAAUUAACUGAAAAAUCAAAAGCCCUUCUGAAUAAUUUUUCCCUGUUGGUGGAAGCUAACAGGGGAUGGGCUUAGUCUCUUUUUCAAUUCCUGGGAACAACUGUAUGUUUUUAAAACUUUUAUAAACAUAAAUUGUUUUUACUAGUAUUUGAUUUUAAUCUUUUUGUUUUUUGAAUGUAGUCUUCAAGAAAAAUUCCCCAGAGGUCAUCAUAUUAAAGGUCAGUGGGAACAUAGCAAAGAUAAACCUAUGACGCAAUUGCAGCUCCCAAUGUGUUAUUCUUUUGAACAACCUCAGGGUUUCCUCCCUCCUUCACAAAUGUCCCUCUUGCAAAAGCAGCAUUGUGUCUGAAGAAUGCAGCCAAACCUGACUCAUCUGCUGCAUAAACUGAUAGUUCAAUUGUGGCUGCUAAAUAUUUCAGUAUUCAUUGCAGCACGACAUCCAAACCAAAGAUAAGACCAUCAUAAAGCAGAAGCUAUUUAAUUUGAGAAGUGUGAUUGUUUCCAGAAUCUGGAAUGUUGUUUUUGUGGGGAAAAAUGACUUCCUGACAUCCCCCACAGUUGAGCAAUGGAAGAAUGAGGGGCUGAGUCCUAGAGCAUCAUCAUCCUAUUACUGCUCAGUUGUAAGGAAGGCACUGAAUCAAGGAUGCUUUGGUGCAGUUCUCAGUUACAUGAAAGGCACUGGAUCAAGCAUGCUUUGGUGCAGCUAUUAUAGGUUUCUUCAGUUCUAGGAAAGCUUAGAGGCUGUAUGGAAAUUCAUUUUCUGAAAGUGGUAUUAAAAUAGGAUUUGCACAUGGCAUGAACCUAUCAGACAUGGUCAAUUGUUUCUGCUAUUGGGUUUUGGAUGUUCUUGUAUUCAUUUUUAAAAAUGUAGGCCACAUCUACACUGACCACUUAAUCUGGGUCAAUCUAGGGCAUUAUGCUCUGAACUGGCCCCAGAUCAACUGCAAUAGCAGUCACACACAUUGGACUUAAUCCUCCGCAGCACCUCAUUGGUGCCCAAAC
rnacentral:lncRNA from 11 species